CCCAACCUGGAGCCUUCUAUACGCGGCUAGUACAGACUACAGAGCAACUAGGAAAAGCCCCACUUCCUCUCGAACUUUCCAUCUCCUUUCCCCCAAAACCCUAUAUAUUUCAAUUUUCUGUACAAGUCCCUCAUAUCAAGUACCUUCUCUCUAUUUUCUCUCUAAAGUCAAACUUUUUCAACUUCAAGAAUUGGGUUUUCAAGUUUUGGUUCAUCUGAGCUGUAAAACACAGAACUUGUACAAGCAGCCAUGAAUUCCGUGUUCAGUUCGUUUGAUGCUUUCUUCUACGCUGAGUUUUUGGGACAGACGGUGAAGGCUUCCUUCCCUACACAGCAGCAGCAGAAGAGUACUGGGACUGUGCUGAACAACAAGGCAUCAGUUGCAGAUAAUUUGAAUGGUGCAAAGCAAGAGGGCAACAGGGAGGCCUCCAUCUCCAUGCCUCAACAAGCUCAGCCUGUGAAGAAGAAGCAGAGCCAGAAGGCACCGCCACGGUUCGCGCUGGAGUUGGAUGGGCUCAACUGCUUUGAGACCAUCGUCUAUCAUUAACAACUACAACAGUCUCUGGAAUUUUAAUCUCAGAUAUUCAGAUUGUUACACAGAAAAAAAAAAAAAAAAAAAAAACAUUUGUUGUAAACGUUGAUAUAGGAUAUAUUACAAUACAAUUUUUUCCCCACAUUUUGGAUCAAUAUUGAUUGAUUUUUUUUUAAUUGCUGAAA